AACGAACGCUGGCGGCAUGCCUAACACAUGCAAGUCGAACGAGACCUUCGGGCCUAGAGGUGCACGGGUGCGUAACGCGUGGGAACCUGCCCUUAGGUUCGGACUAACUCCUCGAAAGGCGUGCUAAUACCGGUAACAGUUUUAGGACAAAAGAUUUACCGCCUUUGGAUGGGCCCGCGUUUGAUUAGCUAGUUGGUAGGGUAAAAGCCUACCAAGGCGACGAUCCAUAGCUGGUCCGAGAGGAUGACCAGCCACACUGGGACUGAGACACGGCCCAGACUCCUACGGGAGGCAGCAGUGGGGAAUAUUGGACAAUGGGCGAAAGCCUGAUCCAGCGAUGCCGCGUGAGUGAUGAAGGCCUUAGGGAUGUAAAGCUCUUUUACCCGGGAUGAUAAUGACAGUACCGGGAGAAUAAGCUCCGGCUAACUACGUG
rnacentral:rRNA from 1 species